UAAUAUUACUGAAAUAUUGAUCAGUUUGAAAAUUGUCCGUCCUAUUUUCAGGUGAAAUUAAUCAGCAGCACCAAGGUAAACAAAGGAAAAUAAAAAUAAUUCUUAUAGUGAUUGUCAUUAUUGGAAUAGCUACAGGCCUACAGCUGAUGUACUCAUGUACUGUAUAUGGAGGUGGAAGUGUCGAAAAAAUGUAAUGAUGAGAUUUUAAAGCAAGGAUAUGCUAUUGCAAAACUCAAAACCUAAAGAUGGAACUAGUAAAGUGGAAGUUGUAGAUUUACCAGUGUUCGGAUUGGAAAAGUUGGCAAUCGCGACAGACAAUUUUCAGGAAAUUAACAAGCUUGAGCAAGGUGGUUUUGGCACAUUAUACAAGGGAAAAUUAGAAGAUGGACUGCAUGGACAGAGAAAAUAGGUUACCAAAACUGAGACCAGCUCAACAUAUAGCUUCCUAAGGCAAGAAGGAUGUUACUAUUCAAACUUCACAGGCUGGAUCAGAAAUGCAAAAUUAGGUUGAAGCCGCUACACAUCAGUUUUAGAUAUUUGGUGCAAAUUUUCAUAUUUUUUGUUC